ensembl:lncRNA
GUACACCUCCAUGACACACCUGGACACCUUUAAAGGCACAUUUACCUGCACAAAGUCACCUCACACCUGAAGAGGAUCAGGUAGAGCAAACAGAGGCUCCCUGAGGGCUCAGGUGUGAUCAUCGGGUGAUCUGGCCAUGGUCUGACCUGUGUGUGUCAGGUUUAUUACCUGAGUUUAUCAGGUGUGUUACCUGUGUGUCAGGUGUGUUAGCUCUUUGUGGAAGGUGUGUUACUUUUUUGUGGAAGGUGUGUUAGCUCUUUGUGGAAGGUGUGUUACCUGUGUCUCUCAGGUAUGUUAUCUGUGUUUCUCAGGUGUGUUACCUGUGUGUCAGGUGUGUUAGCUCUUUGUGGAAGGUGUGUUACCUCUUUGUGGAAGGUGUGUUACCUCUUUGUGGAAGGUGUGUUACCUGUGUUUCUCAGGUGUGUUAGGUGUGUUAGCUCUUUGUGGAAGGUGUGUUACCUCUUUGUGGAAGGUGUGUUACCUCUUUGUGGAAGGUGUGUUACCUGUGUUUCUCAGGUGUGUUAGGUGUGUUACCUCUUUGUGGAAGGUGUGUGUACACUGCAGCUCUCUGGUGCCGCCGCUGCCUUGCUGUAAGUCGUUGUGACAGAUCAGACAAACGCUGUAGGCGUCGCUCUGCAACACAAACAGGGUUUCUGGUCACAACGCGUCCUGUUGGAUUAAAAUCAUCGUGUCUUUAAACCCACCAGAGACAUGACGUUUCGUCUCCUGAACUGGCUCCGCCUCACGGAGGGCGUGGCCUCUGGGAUUGUGGGUAUGAGGGAGGGUCUUCGCUCAGCGGUGGGGGCGGUGGCUUCCUGUGGGGAUGGAAGGAGGCGGCGGGAGGAUGAACGAUGCAGCAACACCUUCGCCGUUAACGGAGCCCGAGUGGACGAGUGCAGACGAGACAGCUGCAUGGCAGAGAGCGUCGACUGGAAACACAAUCAAGAUUCAUUUAGCUUUUAGACACAUCAGAGGAAUUUACAGGUGAAUCACCAACACAUGAUGGUAAAUAUCAUAAAUAAAAGACCAAAUAUAACAACAGAUUUCAAACAGCAAGACUCAGUAAAACCUGCAGUUUACAAAUACAGUGAGUACAGAUCUGUGAAGGAUUGUGACUUCAAUGAAACUGCAUUAUUCAUGUAGAACAGCAGAAUAUUUCCUCUGAUGAUCAGAAACUCACUCUUUACAAAGACUGUAUUUACAAUUCAGAACCCAAGGUAGAACCUCAGAGAACCAAAGAGUACAGCUGUGAUCCCAAACAGUCUGACUGAUGAACAUGGUUCUAAAUGAGCUGAGAACAGCAGAACCUUCUCAGUCCUGGACCUAUGGACUGGGUCUAUCUAUGUCUGCAUCAUGGCUUCACAUGGAAAAGAACUGAACAGAGGAAGAGAAACAUCUGACUGAGAGACUCGACAAAGAUGGAAAAAGAUCCAGGAAGAUCAGUGAGACACUAAAAACCAGUGAAGCACAGAGUCAGCAGUAAUCAGGAGGUCUAGGAGGAGUCAUAGUACCACUAAUCAGGAGGUCUAGAAGGAGUCAUAGUACCACUAAUCAGGAGGUCUAGAAGGAAUCUUAGUACCACUAAUCAGGAGGUCUAGAAGGAGUCUUAGUACCACUAAUCAGGAGGUCUAGAAGGACUCGUAGAACCACUAAUCAGGAGAUCUAGAAGGAGUCAUAGUACCACUAAUCAGGAGGUCUAGAAGGAGUCAUAGAACCACUAAUCAGGAGUUCUAGAAGGAGUCAUAGUACCACUAAUCAGGAGGUAUAGAAGGAGUCAUAGUACCACUAAUCAGGAGGUCUAGAAGGAGUCAUAGCACCACUAAUCAGGAGGUCUAGAAGGAGUCAGUUCCACUAAUCAGGAGAUCUAGAAGGAGUCAUAGUACCACUAAUCAGGAGGUCUAGAAGGAGUCAUAGUACCACUAAUCAGGAGGUCUAGAAGGAGUCAUAGUACCACUAAUCAGGAGGUCUAGAAGGAGUCAUAGUACCACUAAUCAGGAGGUCUAGAAGGAGUCAUAGCACCACUAAUCAGGAGGUCUAGAAGGAGUCAUAGCACCACUAAUCAGGAGGUCUAGAAGGAGUCAUGGUACCACUAAUCAGGAGGUCUAGAAGGAGUCAUAGUUCCACUAAUCAGGAGGUCUAGAAGGAGUCAUAGUUCCACUAAUCAGGAGGUCUAGAAGGAGUCAUAGUUCCACUAAUCAGAGCUCCUAAAAUGACUCCACAGACAGUGAACUACUUUCUCCAUCCAGCUGUAAAAACAGACGGCAGCUGCUUCAGACUUGGCUCAGGGGUUCUCCAUGGAAACCAGAGUUAGUGUGAAGGAACAGUCAGAACAUCAACCUCUAUGGACGGACGACCAGAACUAAACCUAGUUGCUGCUCAGAACUAAACUUCCAGAUGAAAGUUUGCUGAAGAACAUGAAGAAGCCUGAUGAAUGCUUGAGAACAUUCUUUGGUCAGAUGAAGAUCAAUGAGUUGUGCUCAGAUGGAGUCCAGAUGUUUGGUGAGAACCUGACCAGGACUACCACAGUGGAUGCAGAGUCCUGACAGUGAAGCACGGAGGUGGGUUUCUCCACUAGAACCGGGUGGAAUCAGGACCUGGACAGUGUGAGUCCUGAAGCAGCAGAACCUUUGAGGUGUUCUUCAGAGAAAGGUAGAACAACAGAACCCCUCCAGCAAAGAGCAGCUGAAGAACACAGAGAAGAUGUGAGCAGAGAUGAGUGGAUUCUGGUUCCUCCAUGAGGAGGACUGAAGGAGGAACCAAAGAACCUCACCACUGAGUUCCUGCUGGGGAACCUGAAUUUAAUCUAGAAUCUGAACUGUAGUUUGUAAUCUGAUACCAGAGACUCUACUGUUUGAACUAAUCUGAUUACUGUGAGGGGGGUACAAAUUAGAAUUACUGAACAUUUAGAUUGACUGAACUGAAUAACUGAAUAAUAGAAGUGGGAAAGGUAAAUAAAUGUUAGUUUCAGUUAUAAAUAUUAAUAAAAAUACUCAUUAUGGGCUACGCAGGACAGGAAAACAGUAAAAUAUGCGAUGGUUUCACUGUUUUUUAGCUCAUUGUUAUCGUCUGAAAUGUUUGCAUACUCCUCUGCCUGUGAUUAGCUUGAUGGUUAAAUAAUCUGAUCCCGUCAACACGAGUGUAAAAGCCUCAUUAGAGGCUCUGAGGACACGGUUCUCUUUAGCACCCAACUAGAACAGAGUGGUCUGAGCCAACUGAGCCGCAGCUAAAAAUGGAACAUCUGAUAGAUCAGCUGCUGUGAAGGAACUCCACUGAUCUCACUGACUUCAGUCCCGGAACUGCAGCUGAAUCUGCUGGAAGGUAAACAGUCUGUUCCUUUACAGCAACCAGCAGCUACCCGACACUGAACUUCUGCUGAAGGUUUAGAUGCUGAAGUCAGACCUUCUGCUGGGUUCUUUUGGUGAAUUAUCCAUUUUAAGGACAGUUCUUCUCCCUACAAAUGUUCCACCAAAACAAUUGGCCAUCAGUAUUUAGAGGAGACACGUUGCUGCAUUCUGCUCUUCCUCACAACAACAUCUACAAACAUCAGCUCCCAUAACAACCACCAGCUCCCACAGGACAGAAAGGAAGACCUUCUGUUCUUCAGCUGGAGGGAAAAUAAUGAACAGUAAUGGACCAAACUCAUAGAAAACAGAGAGAAAGGUUUGUUUGUUUCUGCUGCCUCAAACAGUUCCAGUUUGGUGGUAAAACACCAUUAAAAUAAUCUCAACAAAUGGUCCACUAGUACAGCUGCAUGCAAAAUGAUUCCUCCCUCUAUGAGGCUGUAUCUUCAUCUAUGAGGCUGUAUCUUCAUCUAUGAGGCUGUAUCUUCAUCCCUGAGGCUGUAUCUUCAUCCAUGAGGCUGUAUCUUCAUCUAUGAGGCUGUAUCUUCAGCCCCUACGAGGCUGUAUCUUCAUCUAUGAGGCUGUAUCUUCAUCCCUGAGGCUGCAUCUUCAGUUCCUAUGAGGCUGUAUCUUCAGCCCCUAUGAGGCUGUAUAUUCAUCUAUGAGGCUGUAUCUUCAUCCCUGAGGCUGUAUCUUCAUCUAUGAGGCUGUAUCUUCAUCCCUGAGGCUGUAUCUUCAUCCAUGAGGCUGUAUCUUCAUCUAUGAGGCUGUAUCUUCAGUUCCUAUGAGGUUGUAUCUUCAGCCCCUAUGAGGCUGUAUCUUCAGCUAUGAGGCUGUAUCUUCAGUUCCUAUGAGGCUGUAUCUUCAGCUCCUAUGAGGCUGUAUCUUCAGCUCCUAUGAGGCUGUAUCUUCAGCUCCUAUGAGGCUGUAUCUUCAGUUCCUAUGAGGUUGUAUCUUCAGCUCCUAUGAGGUUUUAUCUUCAGCUCCUACGAGGUUGUAUCUUCAGCCCCUAUGAGGCUGCAUCUUCAUCUAUGAGGCUGUAUCUUCAUCCCUGAGGCUGUAUCUUCAGUUCCUAUGAGGUUGUAUCUUCAGCCCUUAUGAGGCUGUAUCUUCAGCUAUGAGGCUGUAUCUUCAGCUCCUAUGAGGCUGUAUCUUCAGUUCCUAUGAGGCUGUAUCUUCAGCUCCUAUGAGGCUGUAUCUUCAUCUAUGAGGCUGUAUCUUCAUCUAUGAGGCUGUAUCUUCAUCUAUGAGGCUGUAUCUUCAGCUCCUAUGAGGCUGUAUCUUCAGUUCCUAUGAGGCUGUAUCUUCAGUUCCUAUGAGGCUGUAUCUUCAGCUCCUAUGAGGCUGUAUCUUCAGCUCCUAUGAGGCUGUAUCUUCAUCUAUGAGGCUGUAUCUUCAGCUAUGAGGCUGUAUCUUCAGCUCCUAUGAGGCUGUAUCUUCAUCU